UUUUACUCUUUCAAUUUUUUUUUAAUGUACAAUUAUGUUAUUAUUAACUGUAGUCAGCCUGUUGUGCUAUUAAACGGUAGGUCUUAUUCAUUCUUUCU